rnacentral:tRNA from 2 species
GGGGAUCUAGCUCAAAUGGGAGAGCGCUCGCUUAGCAUGCGAGAAGUACUGGGAUCGAUACCCAGGUUCUCCA